ACUCAGAGAAGGGCUAAAGUAAAGAGGAGUGGAUGAGGAGGUUUUAGGAGGGCAAAGGGAUCACUUUUCUGUGUUUGGGUGGAGUGAAGGAUUGGAUGUGUAUAAAACUUGAUUGCAGCUUGGGAAUCCUGGAGGAACCACCAGCAGAGCAGGCCUGAGAAGGUAGAAGUCAUCUAGGAUGUUGUGUGCAGCAGAGCCUUGAUUUCCUUAACAAUAUGAAGUGUUGUGAGCUUUAAUGAAUGUUGGAUUAUGAGACCCCAAAUUUACAGGUAAAGAAAACAAUUGCAUCUGAUGAGAAUCAACCAGAUGGAAGUAUUUUAAACCAAAGCCUGGGCUUCCCUUGGCGUGACUGGGCUCUACUGGAGGAGUGGUUUGAUUUCCAGCAACUCAUCACGUCAGGUUUGCAGCUCUACUGACCUGGGUGGGAAUAAUCUCCCGAAGAGAAGUAAUAGCACCUUUGGGGCCAGACUGGAAUGUAAUGUGUAGGGAUUGAUUGAAUAAGAGGAAAGACUUAGGGAGGAUGGAAGCAUUGAUGGAAGAGAUGACAAUGACAAACUUCAAGAUUCGAGGGGAAAGAUUAUUAUUGAAGAUUUUAAAUGACUGAUUCUUCAUUAUCCUCUGCCCACCUCCCCAGUGAGAUAUACUGUUGUUUAUCAUUAUCCUUUGUUGAUAUUCUCACAGCCAGCUUUUAUUCCAUGAGAUUGUUGAUAGGGAAGCCAAUUUAAAUUAAUUUUUGAGCAAAAUUUCAAGAGACACUAUCAGAUGUUUUUGCCAGAAUCAGAACAUCUUAUGUCUAUUGUGUUUUCUUCAUCUAUUAAUCUUGUACUUUUAAUGAAAAAUAAAAUCGAGUUUUGCU